rnacentral:rRNA from 1 species
AAAGAUUAAGCCAUGCAUGUCUAAGUAUAAGCAAUCUAUACAGUGAAACUGCGAAUGGCUCAUUAAAUCAGUUAUCGUUUAUUUGUUAGUACCUUACUACUUGGAUAACCGUGGUAAUUCUAGAGCUAAUACAUGCUAAAAAUCCCGACCUCUGGAAGGGAUGUAUUUAUUAGAUAAAAGACCAAUGUCUUCGGACUCUUGGGUGAUUCAUGAUAACUUUACGAAUCGCAUGGCCUUGCGCCGGCGAUGGUUCAUUCAAAUUUCUGCCCUAUCAACUUUCGAUGGUAGGAUAGUGGCCUACCAUGGUUU